rnacentral:sRNA from 1 species
UGACUGGAAGUCAUUAAGCCAAUGGAGGC